rnacentral:rRNA from 1 species
CCUACGGGAGGCAGCAGUGAGGAAUAUUGGUCAAUGGACGCAAGUCUGAACCAGCCAAGCCGCGUGCGGGAAGCCGGUACAAAGUAUCGUAAACUUCUUUUGUCAGGGGACAAAGACUGGUACGCGUCUCUGUCUGAGAGUAUCGUACGAAUAAGCAUCGGCUAACUCCGUGCCAGCAGCCGCGGUAAUACGGAGGAUGCAAGCGUUAUCCGGAUUUAUUGGGUUUAAAGGGUGCGUAGGCGGUCGGAUAAGUUAGAGGUGAAAUCCCGAGGCUCAACUUUGGAAUUGCCUCUGAUACUGUUCGGCUAGAGAGUAGUUGCGGUAGGCGGAAUGUAUGGUGUAGCGGUGAAAUGCUUAGAGAUCAUACAGAACACCGAUUGCGAAGGCAGCUUACCAAGCUACUUCUGACGUUGAGGCACGAAAGCGUGGGGAGCAAACAGGAUUAGAUACCCUUGUAGUC